AGAGAUGAGGAGCUUGCUCUUCAAAUCGAGUGGCGAACGGGUGAGUAACGCGUGAGGAACCUGCCUCAAAGAGGGGGACAACAGUUGGAAACGACUGCUAAUACCGCAUAAGCCCACAGCUCGGCAUCGAGCAGAGGGAAAAGGAGCAAUCCGCUUUGAGAUGGCCUCGCGUCCGAUUAGCUAGUUGGUGAGGUAACGGCCCACCAAGGCGACGAUCGGUAGCCGGACUGAGAGGUUGAACGGCCACAUUGGGACUGAGACACGGCCCAGACUCCUACGGGAGGCAGCAGUGGGGAAUAUUGCACAAUGGGGGAAACCCUGAUGCAGCGACGCCGCGUGGAGGAAGAAGGUCUUCGGAUUGUAAACUCCUGUUGUUGAGGAAGAUAAUGACGGUACUCAACAAGGAAGUGACGGCUAACUACGUGCCAGCAGCCGCGGUAAAACGUAGGUCACAAGCGUUGUCCGGAAUUACUGGGUGUAAAGGGAGCGCAGGCGGGAGAACAAGUUGGAAGUGAAAUCCAUGGGCUCAACCCAUGAACUGCUUUCAAAACUGUUUUUCUUGAGUAGUGCAGAGGUAGGCGGAAUUCCCGGUGUAGCGGUGGAAUGCGUAGAUAUCGGGAGGAACACCAGUGGCGAAGGCGGCCUACUGGGCACCAACUGACGCUGAGGCUCGAAAGUGUGGGUAGCAAACAGGAUUAGAUACCCUGGUAGUCCACACCGUAAACGAUGAUUACUAGGUGUUGGAGGAUUGACCCCUUCAGUGCCGCAGUUAACACAAUAAGUAAUCCACCUGGGGAGUACGACCGCAAGGUUGAAACUCAAAUGAAUUGACGG
rnacentral:rRNA from 1 species